rnacentral:rRNA from 1 species
CUCUUGCUUCAUGAAUAAGAGGUCACGCCUGCCCUGUGACUAUAUGUUUAACGGCCGCGGUAUUUUGACCGUGCAAAGGUAGCGCAAUCACUUGUCCUUUAAAUGUGGACCUGUAUGAAUGGCAUAACGAGGGCUUAGCUGUCUCCUUUCUCAAGUCAAUGAACUUGAUCUCCCCGUGCAGAAGCGGGGAUAAAACCAUAAGACGAGAAGACCCUAUGGAGCUUUAGACAAAAAACAGCCCCUGUCAAUAAACCCUAAAUAAAGGGAAUAAACCUAGUGAACCUGUUUUAAUGUCUUUGGUUGGGGCGACCGCGGGGUAACAAAAAACCCCCAUGUGGAAUGAAAACACCCUUUUUAAACCCAAGAGUCACCACUCUAGGAUACAGAACAUCUGACCAAUAAUGAUCCGGCUAAAGCCGAUUAACGAACCGAGUUACCCUAGGGAUAACAGCGCAAUCCUCUUUUAGAGUCCAUAUCGACAAGAGGGUUUACGACCUCGAUGUUGGAUCAGGACAUCCUAAUGGUGCAGCCGCUAUUAAAGGUUCGUUUGGUCAACGAUUAAAGUC